rnacentral:SRP_RNA from 2 species
GCUGGGUGUGGUGGCGUGCACCUAUAGUCCCAGCUACUCAGGAGGCUGAGGCAGGAGAAUCACUUGAACCCGGGAAGUGAAGGUUGCAGUGAGCCAGGAUCGUGCCACUGCACUCCAGCCCGGGUGAUAGAGUGAGACUCUGUCUCAA